GGCGUGUACCAUGGUGUACCAUCUACAUGCAGUUCCAAUCCAUCACAUAUUAACGAAUCUCAUAGUGCGGCAAGAAGAGAAUAAUAAUAUUGGCGACAGAAAAUACAGUUCAUCAAUCAUCAGGGCAGGGGAGAGCACAGAAUAAGACAGGCAAUUGCAUCAUAGAAGAAGAGGUGAUAGAUCUCACAGGAGAAUGACAAAUGGAGGGCAGAGAGAGAGGAGGGAGAGCAUGGAGGCGUAUGUGAGCAAGGGUGAAUGCACCAUCUUCGAUUCAGACCCCAUGUCUUGAUGGUGCUGAUGACGACGCCGAUUUCUCCUUCCCUCCUGCCUGCCUGCUUUUUUCUUUCUUUCUUUCUAUCUUUCUCGAUCGAUCUGUGAGCGAGGGCG